GUAAGGAAUAUUGGGCAAUGGACGCAAGUCUGACCCAGCCAUGCCGCGUGAAGGAUGAAUGUCCUAUGGAUUGUAAACUUCUUUUAUGCAGGAAAAAUAUCCUGGUCGAGCACCGGGACUGAUGGUACUGUAUGAAUAAGCAUCGGCUAACUCCGUGCCAGCAGCCGCGGUAAUACGGAGGAUGCAAGCGUUAUCCGGAUUCAUUGGGUUUAAAGGGUGCGCAGGCGGAAUGAUAAGUCAGUGGUGAAAUCUCCCGGCUCAACCGGGAAACUGCCAUUGAUACUGUCAUUCUUGAGUACAGUUGAAGUGGGCGGAAUGUGUCAUGUAGCGGUGAAAUGCUUAGAUAUGACACAGAACACCGAUAGCGAAGGCAGCUCACUAAGCUGUAACUGACGCUCAUGCACGAAAGCGUGGGGAUCAAACAGGAUUAGAUACCCGUGUAGUCC
rnacentral:rRNA from 1 species